GGGUCCGUGGUAGUGACAUUUCCAUGUGCCAGGAAGGGGGCGAAGCAGCGAUCCUCCUCAAAGGCUGGGAAGGAGUCAGUCAUAACAAUUAAGCAUUAGGACAGGCCUCAAGGGAUCUUAAAUUGGGGAUGUGGGCUGAAUUGGGGUGUUCUUUGGCCACUCACUGGGCUUUUUUUUUUUUUUAAACAGUCUUGUGCUGUCGCCCAGGCUGGAGUGCAGU
rnacentral:lncRNA from 10 species